rnacentral:rRNA from 1 species
AUACGUAGGUGGCAAGCGUUGUCCGGAAUUAUUGGGCGUAAAGCGCAUGUAGGCGGUGCCUUAAGUCUGUCGUGAAACUGCGGGGCCUAACCCCGUAUGGCGAUGGAAACUGGGGCACUUGAGUGCAGGAGAGGAAAGGGGAACUCCCAGUGUAGCGGGGAAAUGGGUAGAUAUUGGGAAGGAAGCCGGUGGCGAAGGCGCUUUUCUGGACUUUGCUUGACGCUGAGAUGCGAAAGCCAGAGUAGCGAGCGGGAUUCGAUACCCCGCCAGUCCUGGCCGACAACGAUGGGUACUAGUUAUGGGUGGUACCGACCCCUUCCGUGCCGGAGUGAACGCAAUAAGUACCCCGCCUGGGGAGUACGGCCGCAAGGCUUAAACUCAAAUGAAUUGGCGGGG